GAUGCCAUUAUGGUCUUCACCAUUGUGUGUAUCUUAUAUGUUCUUUCUUUUGUCAGAAGCUUUCUUCCCCUACAAAGAGUAGAGGUGAUCUGAACGGUUCAGCUGACAUGCAGCACCUCUGUGCUGGAAUGCUUAUGCAGAGGAAGGAACCUAUUUGCUUGAGGAAGUGGUGCGACAUCCUACCUACCUUUCUGGACAGAAACUCUGGUCUGACAAAGAAGCUAGGGAGGCCUGCUCGUCAGCAGCCAAGAUAUUGGCAGAGGCUUCACAACAGAACCUUCACCAAUACAGCCUACAAUAAAUCCAAUAGGAUGGUGCCAGAGGUUGCUUCUGAAUCAAGAAAUGAAGGGUGGGAUCCAUGGCCUGAUGGAAAUGAAGAUAGUGAGGAUGAACAAGGGGCACAGGAACAGACAAAGGGGAAGUCUUGUUCAGAGGCAAACCCCAGACCAAAAUAAAAGAAGAAAAAAACCAUACCUGUUACAGGGGUCCGGAGGAGCGAGGAAGCGUGCGGUGGAAAACCGUCCAGGCAGUUUAUCAGCCACGCCUAUCUCCAGCUGGGGCUGGGUGAUGUCAUGAAGAGACGCCACCUGGUGAAGAUAAAAAUCAGCCCCGAGAGCGCAGGAAGAAGGACGUCGAGGGCUGGAGGAGUGGCGGGGAACCACGGGGUGGAGAGCAUCCAGCUGCUGCAAUCGGCAGUGGUGGUGGUGACAGCUGGAACAGCAAGAGAUCCCCGAGCCGGGGAGGACCGGUGGGGAUUGAAGGAGCCGGUAGGGAGGCCAGCAGUGGUGGCAGCAGCCAGAGCCACAAGAGAUCCCCGAGUCGGGGAAGACCAGCAGGGACCGAAGGAGCCAGCAGGGAGGCUGGCAGAGGCAGCGGCAGCAGGAUCUGUGAGGGAUCCCCGUGCUGGAGAAGACCGGCGGGGAUCAAAGGAACCGUCGGAGAGGCCGGCAGCGGCUACAGCGAAAACUUGCAUGGGAACUCUCAUCAAAGGCAAUGGGUCCUGUGGCUCCAGGCUGGAGGCAGGUCUUGGAGGGGAGGAGAGAGACCCCGGGCGGGGUGAAGGCGUGGACCCCGACCCAGAGGACGCGCUAGCCUAGGGGCAUUAGGGACUAGGGGAGUAUGGGACUCUCCCCGUGGGUGCUCCUCUUCUUUUUGUUCUCCCUUUGUCACACUUCUCUGGUAGUCGUGUUGCUAGUUUCAUUUUUUUUGGUUUCACAUCGGGUCAUUUCAGGGCAAGGGGUUUUAUGAUGGUGAAGGUUUCAGUUGUGUUUCUCUUUUUGGGUUGAUCUAUUUUUAGUUCCCUUUUGAGAGCAGGUUAGUGGAGCCCUCGGUACCAGGCUUAGGUAGCAGGGACUUCAUGCAAGGAUGGGAAAGGAACCACAUGAGAAUGCAGUGAGGGCCAACGGCAUCAGCCAUAGAAGGCUCAGGGCGUUGAAGGAGACAAGCCCAAAGGCCAAGUGUCACCAGACCCUCCAGGUCCGGCCAGAGGCUAGGUUGCUUGUCUGCAAGAGUAGACAUGGGGACUGGGGAAGACAUCAGCAGUGGAUAGCCGCAAAAGAUCUUGAGGCUCGUCUCAAAGGUUGGCAUAUGGCUGGGGUGUAAGGGAGGUUGGAGCCCCGUGAACAUCCGCUGGGAUGUGUGACAACUCUGGAGACAUCCUCAAAGGGGACCCCCCUCCACUGAAGGACCAUCCAAAGUUGUGGCAGGUGAGUUUGGGGGUCACACUGAAGGUAACUGAGGUACCCUCUGGGGUCUGCAUGAGGUUCCCUGGUGAGCAAGGUCAGCUGCUCAGGCCAAGGCAGCACAGGAGUGAACCAUCGAGAGGAGAUGGGAACACUUCUACUUCACAUAAAUGAAUGAACUCUGCAUAGCCUUUAUGUAUGAGUGUGUGUAAAAGGAUGAAUGGUGAGAGAAUGGCAUAGAGAUGGGAGAAGAAAAUUUAACUGUUUAUGUAAGCAACAAGGCACCAAAUGUAAGUUAUCAGUCAGUAAACUAAUUAAUAAAUGGCUGAAGAAUCCCUUUUAGGCCUUGGGCACAAAAAAGAUAAUGAGGAGAAGGAAUGCACCCAUCCUGCCAGACAGGUAGCAAGAACACUCCAAAGCUAAGAUAAGCUGAAAACAAAAGAAUAACAACCUCAAAAACAGAAGCUGGGUAUAGAAAAACUCCAAAGCACUGAAACAAAGGAUGCCAGUCCCUAUAAAAGAACACUUUGAAAAUGCCAAGUUGGGUGAGUCUUUUUCUCUACUGCUGUUUCAUCGGAGCACAGAUGCAUCUGUUCACCCUGCUCCAGCUGUUAUCUUCAAAUCUGCUAUCUUCAAAUCAUCAGCAUCUACUCAAUAAGCCCAAGUUGGCCACCCUGGACUGAUACUGAGCAACUAUUGCUGGUAACUCUAUCUGGUGUGUGUGUGGAUGAAUGGUUGUUUUAUGUAUGCCUGUGUGUAAUGAUGUGUAUGAUGAUUUCUGUGUGUUUGUAUGAAUGGUGUGUCCAAACCUCUAUGUCUAACUCAUGUAAUCAAUAAAUGCGGCACCUUG